rnacentral:pre_miRNA from 1 species
AGCCUUCUGAAUUCGUGCUGAGGUUUCUCUACACAUCAAACCGUCAAGACUGAUGAGACUCCCAAAGUAAAUGAGGCG